AUUGAACGCUGGCGGCAGGCCUAACACAUGCAAGUCGAGCGGAGCGGCGGACGGGUGAGUAAUGCCUAGGAAUCUGCAUGGUAGUGGGGGAUAACGUCCGGAAACGGGCGCUAAUACCGCAUACUAUCAGAUGAGCCUAGGUCGGAUAAGCUAGUUGGGGGGGUAAAGGCCUACCAAGGCGACGAUCCGUAACUGGUCUGAGAGGAUGAUCAGUCACGCUGGAACUAGGACACGGUCCAGACCCCUACGGGAGGCAGCGGUGGGGAAUAUUGGACAAUGGGCGAAAGCCUGAUCAGGCCAUGCCGGGUGUGGAGAGAAGGUCUUCGGAUGGUAAAGCACUUGAAGUUGGGAGGCGUUACCAACAGAAUAAGCACCGGCUAACUUCGUGCCAGCAGCCGCGGUAAUAC
rnacentral:rRNA from 1 species